rnacentral:rRNA from 1 species
GUCUUGAAACACGGACCAAGAAGUCUGGCAUGUGCGCGAGUCAUUGGGAACAACUAAACCUAAAGGCGCAAUGAAAGUGAAGGUCCGCCUCGCGCGGACCGAGGGAAGAUGGGCGGAUGUACACCGCACGCUGGCCGCGCCGCGCUCCCGGGGCGUCUCGUUCUCAUUGCGAGAAGAGGCGCACCAAGAGCGUACACGCUGGGACCCGAAAGAUGGUGAACUAUGCCUGGUCAGGACGAAGUCAGGGGAAACCCUGAUGGAGGUCCGUAGCGAUUCUGACGUGCAAAUCGAUCGUCAGAACUGGGUAUAGGGGCGAAAGACUAAUCGAACCAUCUAGUAGCUGGUUCCCUCCGAAGUUUCCCUCAGGAUAGCUGGCGCUCGUCGCCUACCAGUCUCAUCCGGUAAAGCGAAUGAUUAGAGGCAUUGGGGUCGAAACGGCCUCAACCUAUUCUCAAACUUUAAAUGGGUGAGAUCUCCGGCUUGCUUGAACUUAUGAAGCCGCGAGAAACGGAUCAGAGUGCCAAGUGGGCCAUUUUUGGUAAGCAGAACUGGCGCUGUGGGUUGAACCAAACGCCGAGUUAAAGCGCCUAAAUCGACGCUUAUGGGAUACCAUGAAAGGCGUUGGUAACUUAAGACAGCAGGACGGUGGCCAUGGAAGUCGGAAUCCGCUAAGGAGUGUGUA